rnacentral:rRNA from 1 species
GACGAACGCUGGCGGCGUGCCUAAUACAUGCAAGUUGAGCGCUGAAGGUUGGUACUUGUACCGACUGGAUGAGCAGCGAACGGGUGAGUAACGCGUGGGGAAUCUGCCUUUGAGCGGGGGACAACAUUUGGAAACGAAUGCUAAUACCGCAUAAAAACUUUAAACACAAGUUUUAAGUUUGAAAGAUGCAAUUGCAUCACUCAAAGAUGAUCCCGCGUUGUAUUAGCUAGUUGGUGAGGUAAAGGCUCACCAAGGCGAUGAUACAUAGCCGACCUGAGAGGGUGAUCGGCCACAUUGGGACUGAGACACGGCCCAAAUUCCUACGGGAGGCAGCAGUAGGGAAUCUUCGGCAAUGGACGAAAGUCUGACCGAGCAACGCCGCGUGAGUGAAGAAGGUUUUCGGAUCGUAAAACUCUGUUGGUAGAGAAGAACGUUGGUGAGAGUGGAAAGCUCAUCAAGUGACGGUAACUACCCAGAAAGGGACGGCUAACUACGUG